GAUGAACGCUGGCGGCGUGCCUAAUACAUGCAAGUCGAGCGAACAGACGAGGAGCUUGCUUCUCUGACGUUAGCGGCGGACGGGUGAGUAACACGUGGAUAACCUACCUAUAAGACUGGGAUAACUUCGGGAAACCGGAGCUAAUACCGGAUAAUAUAUUGAACCGCAUGGUUCAAUAGUGAAAGACGGUUUUGCUGUCACUUAUAGAUGGAUCCGCGCGGCAUUAGCUAGUUGGUAAGGUAACGGCUUACCAAGGCGACGAUGCGUAGCCGACCUGAGAGGGUGAUCGGCCACACUGGAACUGAGACACGGUCCAGACUCCUACGGGAGGCAGCAGUAGGGAAUCUUCCGCAAUGGGCGAAAGCCUGACGGAGCAGCGCCGCGUGAGUGAUGAAGGUCUUCGGAUCGUAAAACUCUGUUAUUAGGGAAGAACAAAUGUGUAAGUAACUAUGCACAGCUUGACGGUACCUAAUCAGAAAGCCACGGCUAACUACGUG
rnacentral:rRNA from 1 species